AACGCGAAGAACCUUACCAGGGCUUGACAUCCCUCGCAAAGGAUGGAAACAUUCUGUUCUCAGCUUCGGUUGAGACGAGGAGACAGGUGGUGCAUGGUUGUCGUCAGCUCGUGUCGUGAGAUGUUGGGUUAAGUCCCGCAACGAGCGCAACCCCUAUUUCCAGUUGCCAGCACGUAAAGGUGGGAACUCUGGAGAAACUGCCGGUGACAAACCGGAGGAAGGUGGGGACGACGUCAAAUCAUCAUGCCCUUUAUGUCCUGGGCUACACACGUGCUACAAUGGCCGGUACAGAGGGCUGCGAAGCCGUGAGGUGGAGCGAAUCCCAAAAAGCCGGUCUCAGUUCGGAUUGCAGGCUGCAACCCGCCUGCAUGAAGUCGGAAUCGCUAGUAAUCGCGAGUCAGCAUAUCGCGGUGAAUACGUUCUCGGGUCUUGUACACACCG
rnacentral:rRNA from 1 species